rnacentral:lncRNA from 1 species
UUCUCCUUAAUUAGGUAUGUUUAGUCUUUUGAUGUAUUGUUGUUUACUUUAUGUUUCUUUUACCAUGAGAUCCUUGUAAUUUUGUAGUCUCUAAAUUUUUAUGAAAAUUUUCAUUUAUUGCACAUUAUUUAAUAUUUGAUUUGAAAUUCAUUUGUUAGCUUGCUUAUAUGCAGUUUCAAUGUAUUGAUGUAUUCAAAUUUUGGUUCAUAGCUUGUUUUCUUCAACAUGUAUAUAAAAGGGGAAUGCAAUGCCUCAAGAGGGUGCUUGUGUUGCUGACGCCGCAACAUGUGAUUGGUUGGAGAGUGUUCGUCCAAGCCUUUCUUAGGUUCCCAUUUCAUUUACUUUUUCAUUCUUUUUAAACGCAGAUGUGAUUGAUUGAAGAAGGUCACUUGCUCUCCCAUUUCUUUUCCUUGUUCAUCGCCAUUCUCCUCUCUCUCUAAGCCCAUCUCUCUGUUUUCUUCUUCAUUUUCCUAAAUGCCCCCAAAGCCCUUCUAUCUCUUUUCUUCUCCAUAACCGGCAACAUCAGGACCAAAACAGAUGGUAUUUUUUUUCCUUUCCCUCCCUGAAUUUCUCUAGCCUUUUGUGUUUCUUUUUAGCUUUAGUUGUCUAAUCUAAUCUAAUCUAAUUGGUAUAUAUUUUUGAUAUUGCAGGUGAAAAUUUUCGAAUCUUUUCCAGCAUUCUUGUGAGACUCUGAGAUUUUUUCCCUUUUUUUUAAUUGGGUUCUAAAACACGUGGUUAGCUUUGCUCUUUUUUUCCCCUUUCUUUUGCCUUGUAUUCUUCCUUUUCUUGACAUAUUUGUAUCUUGAUUUUGCUGUUGGCCAAAAAGCAUUAAAAAGGAUUUAAUAAAUUUGAGAAAGUUUCUUGGAACUUUUCCCGAUCUAAUGCCUUUAUAAGAAAUUGUAUCUUGAUUUUGCUCUUGCCCAAA